rnacentral:rRNA from 1 species
UACGUAGGGGGCGAGCGUUGUCCGGAAUUAUUGGGCGUAAAGAGCGUGUAGGCGGUUCGGUAAGUCUACUGUGAAAUCCUGGGGCUCAACCCUGGGCGUGCAGUGGAUACUGCCGGGCUAGAGGGUGGUAGAGGCGAGUGGCAUUCCGAGUGUAGCGGUGAAAUGCGCAGAUAUUCGGAGGAACACCAGUAGCGAAGGCGGCUCGCUGGGCCACCCCUGACGCUGAGACGCGAAAGCGUGGGGAGCGAACAGG